GACGAACCGUGCGAGCGUUGUCCGGAAUCACUGGGCGUAAAGGGCGCGUAGGCGGCCGUGUAAGUCACUUGUGAAAUCCCGGGGCUCAACUCCGGGGCUGCAGGUGAGACUGCAUGGCUAGAGCUUGGUAGAGGCGAGUGGAAUUCCCGGUGUAGCGGUGGAAUGCGUAGAUAUCGGGAAGAACACCGGUGGCGAAGGCGGCUCGCUGGGCCAAUGCUGACGCUGAGGCGCGAAAGCGUGGGGAGCAAACAGG
rnacentral:rRNA from 1 species